CCUACGGGAGGCAGCAGUGGGGAAUAUUGCACAAUGGGGGAAACCCUGAUGCAGCGACGCCGCGUGAGUGAAGAAGCGCCUCGGCGCGUAAAGCUCUGUCAGCAGGAACGAUAAUGACGGUAACUGAAGAAGAAGCCCCGGCUAACUACGUGCCAGCAGCCGCGGUAAUACGUAGGGGGCAAGCGUUAUCCGGAUUUACUGGGUGGAAAGGGAGCGUAGACGGCGGGGCAAGUCUGGAGUGAAAGGCCGGGGCCCAACCCCGGGACCGCUCUGGAAACUGCCCGGCUGGAGUGCAGGAGAGGUAAGCGGAAUUCCUAGUGUAGCGGUGAAAUGCGUAGAUAUUAGGAGGAACACCAGCGGCGAAGGCGGCUUACUGGACCGUGACUGACGUUGAGGCUCGAAAGCGUGGGGAGCAAACAGGAUUAGAUACCCCGGUAGUC
rnacentral:rRNA from 1 species